AGAGUUUGAUCAUGGCUCAGAUUGAACGCUGGCGGCAGGCCUAACACAUGCAAGUCGAGCGGUAGAGAGGUGCUUGCACCUCUUGAGAGCGGCGGACGGGUGAGUAAUGCCUAGGAAUCUGCCUGGUAGUGGGGGAUAACGCUCGGAAACGGACGCUAAUACCGCAUACGUCCUACGGGAGAAAGCAGGGGACCUUCGGGCCUUGCGCUAUCAGAUGAGCCUAGGUCGGAUUAGCUAGUUGGUGGGGUAAUGGCUCACCAAGGCGACGAUCCGUAACUGGUCUGAGAGGAUGAUCAGUCACACUGGAACUGAGACACGGUCCAGACUCCUACGGGAGGCAGCAGUGGGGAAUAUUGGACAAUGGGCGAAAGCCUGAUCCAGCCAUGCCGCGUGUGUGAAGAAGGUCUUCGGAUUGUAAAGCACUUUAAGUUGGGAGGAAGGGCAGUUACUUAAUACGUGACUGUCUUGACGUUACCGACAGAAUAAGCACCGGCUAACUCUGUGCCAGCAGCCGCGGUAAUACAGAGGGUGCAAGCGUUAAUCGGAAUUACUGGGCGUAAAGCGCGCGUAGGUGGUUCGUUAAGUUGGAUGCGAAAUCCCCGGGCUCAACCUGGGAACUGCAUUCAAAACUGUCGAGCUAGAGUAUGGUAGAGGGUGGUGGAAUUUCCUGUGUAGCGGUGAAAUGCGUAGAUAUAGGAAGGAACACCAGUGGCGAAAGCGACCACCUGGACUGAUACUGACACUGAGUGCGAAAGCGUGGGGAGCAAACAGAUUAGAUACCCUGGUAGUCCACGCCGUAAACGAUGUCAACUAGCCGUUGGGAGCCUUGAGCUCUUAGUGGCGCAGCUAACGCAUUAAGUUGACCGCCUGGGGAGUACGGCCGCAAGGUUAAAACUCAAAUGAAUUGACGG
rnacentral:rRNA from 1 species